AAUGGCAUUUUAUGUGCUUAAUGGAAAAAAGCCUGCUGUGGCAGAGACUCCAGCUCCUAGCACUCACCCUAAGGUCUCUAAAGAAGAUUAGAAGGGGCACCAACGACUCCACCUGAAUUGUGGUAAUGCUAACCACUGGGCAUAACUGACCCAAUGCCUCAUCCGCUGCCAGGACCCUGCCUAAACCGUGGACAAGCAGGACACUGGAGAGUUGAUUGCCCUACUUUGCCGAGACAAAGCGAGGUCAAUUUCUCAAGGUCCUCCUCCACAGGAAGAAGGCCUCUCUGAUUUGCCAGGCCUGGCAGCUGAAGAUCGACGCAGCCCUGCGACGUGUGCCCCCAACGAAGCCACGGACACGACACCACAGGAGCCUGGUGGGUUGGCAGCUAGGUAAUAGCUAACUAAGUCUCUGUUUUAAUUGAUAUACAGGCCAUUUGGAUUAUAUUUCCUUUUGUAAGUUUAUCCUUUUAUAGUUCAUCCUUCUCAGAUCUCUGAUGACAUUGACGGCUGUCAGUUUCCGCAGAAGCAGCAGGCAGCUCCUCCACCUAAGGCUUUGGCAUUCUCAUUCCUUUUCCUAUGUAAAAAACCAAGCCUUGCUAACUCUAGAGUUACCAGGUCUCUUGUUAAGAAGCGGCAGACAGGUUUGCCUUGCUAAAGGGCUAAAAAUUAAAAUAGAAACAGGUUUCAGAUGUAGCUUUUUACCGUCCCUUUAUUUAAACUUGCUUUGCAAUCACUGUUCUCAGUAGCAACUGCUCAUGUCUCUGACAGAUGCUUGGAUGGAGGAAAAAAAAGGCUCAAAGUCUGUAAGUUCUGCGUGUUCAGAGGUGUGGAAGCGUCUGAGGAUGUGGGGCCUGGAGUCAUUGAAGGCGAUUAAGGCGAGUCGUAGGAAGGGUUUUAAGGUAGCUGAAGAAGUGAGGAGUGUCAGGUCUCCUUCCCCAGCUGUGCUCUUGCUACGCUAAGAUUUCAGACGUUCAGAACUUUAGUAUUUAUCAGUGGAGUUGUGACAAGCUGGUGUGGCGCUGGCUGUGUACUAUUCAGUCACAAGCUGAAAAUUUUAAAUUUCUUUUAGUUGUCUUUUGUGUAGAAACUUAACGGUACUUUUCAUCAUGCUAAAAGCAUCUGUGUCCAAUCUCUACACCCAUCCCUCUGGACCGAGACACGAAUGUUCGUGCUUUUGAACCCAAAGCCGUAGCUUUUGCUAGGACUCAGGCGUGAGUCCACUCCAGGUGUUUAACAGACGCCUGUUAGCUGGCUUUUCUAUGAUGUGGACUUUUUUUUGUACAGAUUAAUGCUAAUAGAUUUAAAACUUGUAUCUUUUUGUAAACUAAGAAAAUUCAUGUAAGGGACUGGAGCGAUGGCUCAGAGGUUAGGAGCACUGGCUGCUCUUCCCAAGGACCAGGGUUUAAUUCCCAGCACCCACAUGACAGCUCAUAACUGUAACUCCAGUCCCAAGGGACCGGAUGAUGUCUUCUGGUCUCCUUGUGCAUAUGUGAGCUGCACAGACACACACGCAGGGGACACCUAUCUAUGUAAAAGUUAAACAUUGAAAAGAUAAAUUCACGUGAGCUUCCGAGCAUUGAAGGAGUCAUUAAGACUUGGACCCACCUCUCACAGGUCACAGGGGCUCCAGAUAAGUCCUGCCUAAGCCUGUCUAUCUGCCUGUCCUUGAGGCUGGGAUCUCUUACCUGGUCUUGGGACUCCACCCCUCCUCUAGUUUCCAGGACUGUGGGCCUGAAAGUGCCAAAUGUAAGAUUUUCCUUUAAGGUCCUAAACUUUAACUUCUGUCCCGAGUCUCUCUCUGUCUCAGCAGAUGUCCACUUGGCUGACAGACGCCCUUCAGGAAUCAACUGUGGACUACAAACUGCUCCAAAACUGACUCUGCAGUCUGGACUGGAGGAAAGCUGAUGUGAACCAGGCCAGCCGAUGUGCUUGCUCCCUGUCUCUUCAGCUGGGUCAUCUAACUGGAUGCCUCUGAUGCAUGUCCCAUCGCCGGAAUCCCUCCCUGCCUUUGACUAACAUUCCAGCCUUCCUAGGCCCUGGCAACAUCCUUGUUUCAGCAGGAAGUAGUUACAGAAGAGAGUUCGUCGCCCCCUUGCCCCCAACAGGCUGGAAUGUUAGAUCAAAAGGACGUUCACUGGUGUGGGGGACAAAAUGGCUACCUAUACUGCCUAUUGGCAUACUAGGAAAGGUACCUGUUAAACUCAGAGACCCAGAUCUAUCAACAGGUAGAUUCAUUAGCUGAAAUAGUUCUACAGAGUGGCGGGGCAUGGGAUCGGUUUUAUGCAGCAGAUGGAGGUGUUGUGUGACUUUAAGAGAAAACUAUUGUUUGUAUACAAAGCAUUCAGGGAUCAUCAGAGGUAAUCUGAGGACCCGCAAUGAAGCAAAUGGCUGUUUCCCAGUCUCAUGCUCCUCCUAGUUAGUAACUCACUCGGCUAUCUCAGGGUCUUUGACCCCUGUAUUUCUGCUGAUUACUGUUGGCUCUGGCUCAUCUAGUUAAAGAUAAUAAUUUCUGCCUGGGUACCAUUAAGCUGGUGGUUAUUGGAUUCUGAUGUAAACAGGUACCCAUCAUAGAGUCAGGGAUUCGACUCAGGAUACAACUCAAGGGGAGAAUGUGAGAGAUAGUUAUACUUAAAAUUUUAAUUAUGGUGCCUUAAGAGACCCACUAAACAAAAAUGCCUCUAUUGUAGACCACCUUCCUGAAAGGCCGGAGGCUGCCAUCUAUGGGAGAUAACAAGCCACAUGUUCCACACUCCCUAAACAUCUUUGUUUGACUCACCACACUGGAUGUGCUUGAUCACAUGUAGUGGGGAGGCUCGUGGGCAGGAAAUACAUCAGGACAUAUGUUUGGACCUGAUGGGAAAUGCGGUGGCUUUAUGGGUUUGCCUUUUUAAGCCUAAAUGUGAUGACUUAUUGCCAGUCUCUGGAAACCCGGGAGUGGACCUGGCCAGAGUCUAUCAUCCUGAGCAGUAUGUAAAUAAAGCUUGCUUCACAUUGGUCUCAGAA
rnacentral:lncRNA from 1 species